UGUCUCAAAAAACCAAAAAAAAAAAAAAAAAAAAAAAAAAAAAGGAAAAAACUUUUAAAAGUUAUGGCUUGAUUUAUGUAAGUAGCAAAAGGUUUUCUAUGUGUGAGAAGGAGCAGAAAGAGCAUUGACAUUUUCAGCAAACAUUGCAAACAUUUUUCAUUCCUUCCCCAAAUUAUAAUCAAAAUAAAAAGGGAAGUGACUGUGUGAAGAAAGAGCUUAAAAGUAAGCAACUGUAAGUGGACACAGAAUUUGAUUAGUUAUGUUAAUGAGUAAAAAUAUAAAUGUCUAACAUGUAUGAGCAAGAGUUAUUGCUUAGUAAACACAUAUGCAUGGUGUGAUGCAGGGCGGCAAGGUUAUAAGCCCGGCACUUGGGGAGUAGGACAGGAGAAUCAAGACAAGCCUCAUGAUACCACGUCUC
rnacentral:lncRNA from 1 species